UCACUGCGGGCUUUGCCUUAGUACGGCGAGUGAGCGGCAAAAGCUCAAAUUUGAAAUCUGGUACCUUCGGUGCCCGAGUUGUAAUUUGUAGAAGGUAACUUUGGGGCUGGUCCUUGUCUAUGUUCCUUGGAACAGGACGUCAUAGAGGGUGAGAAUCCCGUGUGGCGAGGAUCCCAGUUCUUUGUAAAGUGCUUUCGAAGAGUCGAGUUGUUUGGGAAUGCAGCUCUAAGUGGGUGGUAAAUUCCAUCUAAAGCUAAAUAUUGGCGAGAGACCGAUUGCGAACAAGUACAGUGAUGGAAAGAUGAAAAGAACUUUGAAAAGAGAGUGAAAAAGUACGUGAAAUUGUUGAAAGGGAAGGGCAUUUGAUCAGACAUGGUGUUUUGCGCCCUCUGCUCCUUGUGGGUGGGGGAAUCUCGCAGCUCACUGGGCCAGCAUCAGUUUUGGCGGCAGGAUAAAUCUGCAGGAAUGUAGCUUGCCUCGGUAAGUGUUAUAUCCUGUAGAAAUACUGCCAGCUGGGACUGAGGACUGCGACUUUACGUCAAGGAUGCUGGCCUAAGGGUUAUAUGGCCGCCCGACUGAAGAAAGGGACAAAAAAUUUCCCUCUUCCUCUUCUCC
rnacentral:rRNA from 1 species